GUGGCACCAGGAAUUUUCCAGGCUGGAAGCACCAGGAAAGAUCCCACAGGUGGAGCUGCAGUGGGCCAGGAACAAAAUCUGAGCGUGCUCUCCAGGACAUCAGCAAGGUCCCCUCUUGUCUGCCUGGAAAGGGACUUCUGGUAUUUUUGGGAAAUUGGGAGAUGCUGGGAAACAGAGAACUGAGGAAAGUGUGAUACAAAAUCCAAGAAUCUCUGGAAUUCCCUAUUUUAAUAUCUGUGAUAUUUUUCCACUUUGAAAGAGCAAAACCCUCAAAUCUGAACUCCACCAAAUGUCAGAAUGAACUGGGAACAAAAUGCAUUGCUCCAUUUCCAUCUUCUGCUUAAAAAACGAAUCCACAGAGGCCAAAUUCAAUGGAAUUUCACAAAACAUUUGCUUUUAAUGCAGCUGCAUAUGAAACUUCCACAAAUGAGAGCAGAAUUAUCCCUCUCUCAGCAUUCCCAGGUUCACAGACUCCAGAAAAUUAAAAGCUUCCCAGUAACUCUGUAACCUCUGGGCUGAAUUUGUCCUGCUCCCAUCCCUGCAGUGAAGUUCUGCACUUGGCCAUCAGCAUAAAAUCAUUAGAGCAGGGUAGGAAUAAAUUGAACUAUCCCAUUUCAGCCCAAUGUGAAAACCCAGGUCUUGGGAAAACGUUGGGAUUGCUGAAUUAUUUACAUGGCUCUGACAGCAAUGUUGAUUUUAGAGUCCUUUGUAGUCAAAUCUAAACACAAAUCUCUCUCUGUCUCAUGACAAGUGUUUAUUUUCCCACUCCUGAGCAGUUAAGCUGAAUCUCUUAAUUAUCUUUAAAUCAAAUAAUGCUGUUCCGACCUCGGGAGCUGAACUCAGCCCUCGUCACUCUUUGCUAAAUAUCAGGCAGAGGUUUUAUAAAACAUCUGUCUCCAGCCCACAUCACCCAGCUUUCAGUGCACUUUGUAGGAUUUCUGCAGAAAUCCAGAUUUAAAAUUAGCAGUUCUCAAGUAAAUACUUAUUUCUCUUGAAUAAGAGGAACAUAAAAAAAAAAGAUAAAGAGGUUUUUGGGGUUUUUUUUUUGUCUCUGACAAGUCUCAGGAGACAGAGAGCAUCUCCCAAUAUGUUUGUGUCUCUCUUUUUUUCCCCAUUGUUCCAUCAGCUCUCUUUUUUUCUGGAAAACCAAGACUAGACCCCCUCCCAGUCCCGUUAUUUUUGUGUUUGCAGGAGCUGUGGAUCCUUUUCAAGGAGGAUGUUUAGAAGUGCAGGCAAAUAAUAACCCGAAAUAGGAUCUUGAAAUGUCCAAACCCUUCAGCAUCUGGUUUCCUUUUGGUUUUCUCCUGCUGAAUUUCACCCAAAUUUUGUUUCCCUGGGACUGCAGGUGCUCAUUUCCAUCUUCCUUUUUUAUCCUCUGUCUUGCCAGGCUCUAUUAAUGAAUUUCUCCGUGGUCCUUUCCAAUCCCCCUCCCACAGCUGCUGAAUUUGAUCAUUUUUCCCUUUUCCCACUCUCCUCCUGCUUUCAGCUGCUCCACCUGGAUAACGUUUAUAAUUUUCCCUAUUUUCCACUGCAGGAUGCUUUGCUCAACUUCAGCUGAAAACCCUGGAAUUUGGGUUUUCUGAAGAGGAGUUGGUGAUGGAAACCAAGGGAUCCACACAGCAGCCACCAGGUGGGGAUCCCCCAGAGCUGCUGGGCUGCCCUGCUUUGGAUUUGUGCCAUUUGAAUGAUGCAGGAGCUGAUGUUUCCACAACAGAAGCAGCAGUUUGGGCACCGAAGGACAGGAAUGAAGCAAAUUUCAGAAUCAACGAGGAGCUCCUCGUUUGCAGUGAGUGAAAUGCAUCUCAAUUAUAAACCAGGGUAAACAAGUAAACAAACGAGAGAGGCCACGCAGGGGACGUGGGGGAGAGGAGCCCUUUCCCCUUUUCUCCCAUUAACUCCCCAUUUCCAUUUCUCUCUCGUUAAUGCUGAGCUUGGCACUCCAUUAUGGGCACUAAUUAGCUCCAGAUUUUGGCCUCCAGUUCGUUUUUGCACCGUAAUUAAUGCAGCAGCCAUGAGAGCCCCCAGGCUGAUGAUGAGGAGAGCUCCUGGAAGUGCUCAGAGCCAGCAGAAGCACAGAGCAGCCCAUCAGGAGCAGCUCCCACAUGGGAGGGCUCACAGGGGGCUGCUGGGUUUAAGUGUUUCAAUUAAUGAAACACAAGCAGGAUCAAUUAAUAAUAUUCAAAUGGAAGAUAGCAAUUAUUUUUUUUUUAAAGGAGGUUUUACCACUGGCAUAAUUAAAUCUUUUAUCUGCUGGGUAGAAAACCUACAUUUGUUAAAGCUGUGGAGUGAAACAGUGGCAAAACUUGGAGCUGCUCAGUGGAGUUUGUCAGGUUUCAAAUGUGCCACGGCGGGAAAAUCCCAGAAUCCCAGGCUGGAAGAGCCCUCCCAGCCCAUCCAGUCCCGCCUUGUCCCCAGCCCAGAGCUCUGAGUGCCACCUCCAGGGAUGGGGAUCCAAACCUCCCUUUCAGUAUUUACCAGCCCUCUCCCUCUGGGAGUGGGUGACUUUUCCCCACUGGAAUACCCAUUGGAAAAUGGAAUUACAGCUCAUUGAAAUCGGGCAAACAAUUCCCCCCCCUUCCCUGCUUUGUGUGUGAACAGCAGAGCUUUUUUUUUAGGUGUCAAAAGCAGAUUUGCUGCCCGGCAUCACGCGUUUGAUAACAAAGGGCUGGCAUGUGCACACUGUUCCUGUCACUCCUUCGGGUUCCUCUCCCAGGAGCAAAUGCCACCAACUCCCUCAGAGCAGCUGGGUCUGCCUCCCACCCUCCAGGCUGAGGGGAGAGUUCUGCUCCCCAGGAAUGGCUCACCCAGCCCUCCCUGCCUUUUGUCCUCCAAAUCCACAGUUUUGUGCCCUGGGAACUUCUGUACAGCCCCAAGGUGGUGCUGGGAAGCUGUGCUUACCUUAAGGUCUCCAUCCUGCUGAGAGAGCAAGCACCAGGUUCCACCGUGUUGUGUUCAGGAUCUGAGUGUCUUUCAGAGGCACCUGUGAGACCCCACCUGUCCAUUUCUUUACACAUCGCCAUCAAAUUUGCUGUGCAGAGCAAACAAAUAAGUUCAAACUUCUGAAGGUUGUGCCAUCUCUUGGUUGCCCCUGGGCCUGUCUAUUUUCUGCUCCAGAGGAGAUGACACAGUCCAUAAAUCUCUGCCCUCGUCCCUGCUUUGGUAAAUAAAAUCUGCUCAGAUUUAUGUCUGCUCCUUCCUGAGGAAAAGCAAAGCCGUGAUACAUGUGGCAAAUGGAACAGAAAAUUGCUUUUCACCCAUCAAGUUUCCAGUGUAACUGACUAAAGUUUGGGCUCUCCUACAGCAAUAACUGCUCUCACAAAAUAAACCCAAUUUUGUAGCACAAUUCUUCGUGCUAUGUUGAGGAAACCAAAAAUGUGCUUUGCCCAAUAAUUUAGCAAAUGGCUUCAAACUGAGAGAAGGUUUGGGUUGGAUAUUGGGGGGGAA